AAGGUUAAAGGUCAGGCAGGGGUCACCCAGACAGGAGUCUCCAGGUGUGGCCCCGCCCCCAUCCAGGUGUGUCCCAGGUGUGUCCCAGCUGCACCCAGGUGUGUUUGGGUGUGUCUCAGGUGUGUUUGGGUGUGUCCCACACUCACCUUGCAGGUGUCCCCGCCCCCGCCCAGGUGUCCGGCACACACCAUGGCCCAUCCCAGCUGUACCC
ensembl:lncRNA